GUAUGUUUUCUCCUGUGUAAUUCAGUCUUCAGUGUAAUUCAGUCUAUUGAUGGUCCUGUGAUGCCAUCUACUGGCGAACUUUGGUAUUUUUCUGGAAUACGUUCUGAUAUGCAUGCCUUGCACUCCAUUACACUACAUUCACUUGAUCGGAAAGCAUGGUACUCACACUCGUCUUCAUAAUUGCGUCUCCUCUGGUUUCAAGUUGGCCUUUGUAAGCAUCGUUGUUUUACCCUACUUCACCUCACCAUAAAGAGGGAACUGCAACUUUUCGUCUGCGUGGUUUGAUGGAGAGGAGUUUAUACCAUCUGUCAACCCUGGCAAGGCGUUGGGGGUAGAGGGCAAAACAAGAGACACACACACGCACGCACACACACACACACACACACACACACACACACACACACACACACACAUACACACACACACACACACACACACACACACACACAUCCAGACCCAUCCAUACACAUCCUCUCAUUAAUAGUGAAUCAUGCGCAUUCAUACAAAAUAUAGGAAUAAAAAGGAGCACACUGCAAUCUCAGUAGAAGUCAUGGGUGAAAAAUAAAGGAACCCCAAAAUUGCACACACAUAUGCAUAUAUAUAUAUAUAUAUAUAUAUAUAUA